ACUUUAACACUGAGGCGUGACGACGAGGCACUACGGUGCUGAAGCAACAAAUGCCCUGCUUCCAGGAAAAGCCUCUAAGCAUCAGGUAACAUCAAAUCGUACCCCAAACCGACACAGGUGGUCAGGUAGAGAAUACCAAGGCGCUUGAGAGAACUCGGGUGAAGGAACUAGGCAAAAUGGUGCCGUAACUUCGGGAGAAGGCACGCUGACACGUAGGUGAAGUGAUUUACUCAUGGAGCUGAAGUCAGUCGAAGAUACCAGCUGGCUGCAACUGUUUAUUAAAAACACAGCACUGUGCAAACACGAAAGUGGACGUAUACGGUGUGACGCCUGCCCGGUGCCGGAAGGUUAAUUGAUGGGGUCAGCGUAAGCGAAGCUCCUGAUCGAA
rnacentral:rRNA from 1 species